UACGUAGGUGGCAAGCGUUGUCCGGAUUUAUUGGGUUUAAAGGGUGCGUAGGCGGUCCUAUAAGUCAGUGGUGAAAUACUCCAGCUCAACUGGAGAGGUGCCAUUGAUACUGCAGGACUAGAGUACUGAUGAGGUAGGCGGAAUGGACGGUGUAGCGGUGAAAUGCUUAGACAUCGUCCAGAACACCGAUAGCGAAGGCAGCUUACUAAAGAGUAACUGACGCUGAGGCACGAAAGUGUGGGGAUCAAACAGG
rnacentral:rRNA from 1 species